rnacentral:rRNA from 1 species
UACGUAGGGUGCAAGCGUUGUCCGGAAUUAUUGGGCGUAAAGAGCUUGUAGGCGGUUUGUCGCGUCUGCUGUGAAAAUCCGGGGCUCAACCCCGGACUUGCAGUGGGUACGGGCAGACUAGAGUGUGGUAGGGGAGAUCGGAAUUCCUGGUGUAGCGGUGAAAUGCGCAGAUAUCAGGAGGAACACCGGUGGCGAAGGCGGGUCUCUGGGCCGAUACUGACGCUGAGGAGCGAAAGCGUGGGGAGCGAACAGG